rnacentral:rRNA from 1 species
UACAGAGGGUGCAAGCGUUGUUCGGAAUUAUUGGGCGUAAAGGGCGCGUAGGCGGUGCGGUAAGUCUGUAGUGAAAUCUCUGGGCUCAACUCAGAGUCUGCUGCAGAAACUGCCGUGCUUGAGUGUGGGAGAGGUGAGUGGAAUUCCCGGUGUAGCGGUGAAAUGCGUAGAGAUCGGAAGGAACGCCCGUGGCGAAAGCGAGGCCCUGGACCCUUACUGACGCUGAGACGCGAAAGCCAGGGGAGCGAACGGG